rnacentral:rRNA from 1 species
CUAAAGGACUGCUAAUACCGAAUGUUGUAUAUUUUCCACAUGGAAUAUAUAUUAAAGAUGGCCUCUAUUUAUAAUCUAUCGCUCGAACAUGGGUCUGCGUCCGAUUAUCUGGUUGGUGGGGUAACCGCCUAGCUGAGCGACGAUCAUUAACCGGUCUGAGAGGACGAACGGCCACAUUGGGACUGACACACGGCCCAGACUCCUACGGCGAAGCUCAGAUGCGGAAUCUUCCACAAUGGACAACAAUCUGAUGGAACAGCGCCGCGUGACUGACGAAGGGUUUCAGAUCGUAAAGCUCUGAUGACGGCUACGAAUGUGCAGUAUUUGAAUACACUGCUGUAAUGACGGGACCUGACGAGGAAGCCACGGCUGACUACAUGCCAUCAGCCGCGGUAAUACUUAGGUGGAAAGCGUUGUCCGGAAUUAUUGUGCGUAAAUGGAGCUCAUGCGGGAAGGUAAGUCUGUCUUAAAAGUGCGGGGAUCAACCCCGGGAUCGAUCGAAACUAUCUUUCUUGAGUGCAAGAGAGGAAAGUGCAAUUCCUAUCGUAACGGUGACAUACGUAGAUAUUCGGAGGAACGCCAGUGGCAAAGGCUACUUUCUCGACUGUGACUGACGCUGAGGCUCUAAAUACUAGGUAGCGAACGUGACUACAUACCCCG